AAGCACUGGAACAAGUUGCCCAGAGAAGCUGUGGAUACCCCAUCCCUGGAAGUGUUCCAGGCCAGGUUGGAUGGUGCCCUGAGUAACCUGACCAAGUGGAAAGUGUACCUGGCCACAGCAAGGAGAGUAAUAGCUGGCUCUGAUAAGCUGGGCAAGAAGGGAGACAAAUUUUGCUACAAUUACUACUGAAAGACCAGGUGAAAAAAUCUCAUUUCAGGAGAAAAUCUUUGCAUUUAGCCUCUUCUGCUUCCAGAAAAGGGUAUCAGAGAUGAUAAGAAAUUCCCAACACGUACAUACUGCAUAAAUACGAGUUUGGCUUGCAAAGCAGAGCGGCUGAUUUAUCCUGCACUACUGAGCAUCAAGACAUAGCUCCUCUUGUGCCAGUGUCAGGCUCAGGACCAGGCCCACUUACCUCCUCUCAAAGACAUCAGUAAGUAUUUGUUACCAGAUGUGAAGCAGACAUAACUUCUUGGGAAAAAAUUAUUAUGAGGACAAUUCCCUAAAGGAAGAAAAAUACCAUAAGUUUAUAUAAUGAAGGAUUCUUCUAACUUCAACAAAAAUAAUCUUGAGCACCUGAGGGAAAAAAGAAGUCAGGUAGAUCCAGAAUGUAAGGCCAGUCUCCUAACUGUUAUAUCUUUUGUG